AAUGACUAGGAUAGCACUAAAAAAGUUUUUGUCACAAAUAUAGCCUCUAAGAAUAAAAAUGACCAAAAUAACACUUAAUGUUUUAUCAAAAAAGAUAAAUAUACACUUAUACCCCAAUGGUAAAUUAAUUUAGACAUUAUGGUUUAGAGUUAAGGGGUGAGGUUUAGGAUUUAGGAUUUAGAGUUUAGAAUUUAGGGUUUAGGUUUAGGGUUUAGGGUUUAGGGUUUAGAGUUUAGGGGUGGGGUUUAGGAUUUAGGGUUUAGGGUUUAGAGUUAAGGGGUGGGGUUUAGGAUUUAGGGUUUAGGGUUUAGGAUUUAUGAUUUAGGAUUUAGGGUUUAGAGUUUAGGGUUUAG
rnacentral:lncRNA from 1 species